AUAUAUAUAUAUAUAUUUCAUGUUUAUCACGUGUAUUUCCAAGCGUAUUCGGAUUUAAUCAAUUUAUCGUCCCAUUAUUUUCAACAAACUUUGUUAUUCAUCUUUCGAAUAGAAAGGAAAAGAGAUCAUCAAUAAAAAAUGUCUCUAUGGAGAUGCACUCGUAACAAAAACUAACAUAAACGUUAACAAGAUUUCAAUGUGUGAUAAUCCUAGGAGAAUGGAAUCAUAAAUUUAAACGCGAAAUGGCCAUUUUCACAUAAAAAAAAAAAAGAAAGAAAGGAAAAGAAAAAGAAA